UUUGUUUGGUGGCGAUAGCGAAGAGGUCACACCCGUUCCCAUACCGAACACGGAAGUUAAGCUCUUCAGCGCCGAUGGUAGUCGGGGGUUUCCCCCUGUGAGAGUAGGACGCCGCCAAGCAA
rnacentral:rRNA from 1 species